GGGAUCGAAAGACCUCAUGCUUUUGGAGCGGCCGAUGUCUGAUUAGCUAGUUGGUAGGGUAAUGGCCUACCAAGGCGACGAUCAGUAGUUGGUCUGAGAGGAUGGCCAGCCACACUGGGACUGAGACACGGCCCAGACUCCUACGGGAGGCAGCAGUGGGGAAUUUUGGACAAUGGGCGAAAGCCUGAUCCAGCAAUGCCGCGUGAGUGAAGAAGGCCUUCGGGUUGUAAAGCUCUUUCAGUUGAGAAGAAAAAAUUGUGACUAAUACUUGCAAUUCAUGACAGUAUCAACAGAAGAAGCACCGGCUAACUACGUGCCAGCAGCCGCGGUAAUACGUAGGGUGCAAGCGUUAAUCGGAAUUAUUGGGCGUAAAGGGUGCGCAGGCGGUUUUGUAAGUCAGAUGUGAAAUCCCCGGGCUUAACCUGGGAAUUGCGUUUGAA
rnacentral:rRNA from 1 species